rnacentral:lncRNA from 1 species
UGUCAACUGGAAUCUGAUUACAUCGUUGUGUUCUGAGGAUAUUGUUGCCCACGUCCUUUCUUCCCUAGUUUUAAAAUCUCAAACAUUAUCAUUCAUACCCUUAGUGUGAGUUUUAGGAUCCACAAUGGCUCAAGAUCAGAUAAUCUAUAUAUAAUUACAAAUAAAAUGAUUUGCUACCCACUUAAAAUUAUGCAUGUCAAAC